AGCUGCCUCUGUCUCCUGCACCGCAUCCUCAGGGAUUGUCCCUGCCGGAGCUGCCUCCUGCACCGCAUCCUCAGGGACUGUCCCUGAUGGAGCUGCCUCCCGCACCACAUCCUCAGGGACUGUCCCUGCCGGAGCUGCCUCCUGCACCGCAUCCUCAGGGACUGUACCUGAUGGAGCUGUCUCCCGCACCGCAUCCUCAGGGACUGUCCCUGCUGAAGCUGCCUCUGUCUCCCGCACCGCAUCCUCAGGGAUUGUCCCUGCCGGAGCUGCCUCCUGCACCGCAUCCUCAGGGACUGUCCCUGCUGAAGCUGCCUCCUGCACCGCAUCCUCAGGGACUGUCCCAGCCGGGGCUGCCUCCUGCACCUCAUCCUCUAGCACUCGCACAUCGGCCGGGGGUGCCUCCUGCACAGCCUCCUCGGGGACUGUCCCCGCUGGGGCUUCCUCCCGCACUUGAUCCUCUGGGAAUGUCCCCACUGGGGCUGUCACUGCAGCCUCCUCGGGCUCUCUUCCCUCUGGGACCGCCUGUCUCAGCGCCUCUCCGGCCUCUGUCCUCGAUGGCGCCUCUGCCUCUCCGGGCUCUGCUUCUGCCUCUGCUUCUCCGCGCUCUGUCCCCGCCGGGGCUGUCGCCGCAGCCUUCUCGGGCUCUGGUUCUGCCGGGACUGUCGUCGCCGCCUCCUGGGGCUCUCUCUCCGUCGGGGCUUCCUCCCUCACCGCCUCUCUCACCUGGGGCUCCGUCCCCGCCGGGGCCACCAUCGCACCUUCGGGCUCUGUCCGCGCCGGGGCUGUUUUUUCCGACUCCGUCCCCGUCGGAGCAACCACUGCGCCCUCGGGCUCCGUCCCCACCGGGGUCACGGCGCCGUCCUCGGGCUCUGUCGCUGUCGGGGCUGCCUCUUCGUGCUCUGUCGCCGUCGGGACCGCGGCCGCGUCCUCGGGCCCCAUCGCCGCUGGGCUCACAGCCACGUCCUCGGGCUCCAUCGCCGCCGGGGCUGCCCCUUCAGGCUCCGUCCCCGCCGGUGCCACCGCCUCUCCCUCGGGCUCUGCCCUGGCCGGCGCGGAGCCCUCGGGCCCGUCCAUCACCCCCGCGGCCCCCGGCUCCCCGCCCGGCUGCCCCUCGUGCCCCGGGCUGUCCCCGCCGGGGUCCCGCUGCUCCGCGCUCGGUGUCCCCGGGCUCUCCGCCGCGCCGUCGAGGGAGCCGCUGUCCCGGGGGGGUUCCGCCGCCUCCGCGCUCAGGCGCGGCCCCUCCGCGGGCCCGUCCGGGGGCUCGGCCGCCCCCUCGGGGCACAGCCCGGGCGGAGCCCCCGCCGCCGCCUCGUCCUCGGCCCCCUCCCGCGGCACAUCGCUGCGCUCCGGGGGCCGGCCCGGGCUCUCCGCCAUGCCGGGCUGCCCGGGAGCGCCGGGACGCGCGGGACGAGCCGGAGCAGCGCAGCGGCCGCGGAGCAGCGCGGGCACUGCCGGGGGGGAACGGGGGCGGUGCCUGCGCGGGGCCCGGGGCGGCGGGGCCGGGGCCGCGCUCCUCCCCCGCUCCGGCAGAGCCCCUGCCCCGGCCCCUGCCCCGGCCCGCCGCUCCUGCCCGCCCGGACCCUGCCCAGCCACGCUCGGGAGCGCGACAGCGGCACCGAGCGCUGCCCCCGGCCACCCCCGCCCCGCAGGGACCGGAGCCUUGGCAGAGUGCCCCAAAAUCCCCUUUGGGUGUGUUUGCGUCCCCUGCAGCGGCUCUCGCACCUGCCCGGCGCUCCGCUCGCACCCCAAACCCCGUUCCUGCCCUGCUUUGCCCCCGGCGGGGUGUCCCUGGCACUGCUGUCCCCAGCCCCAGCCUGGCACACACCCGCGGGCAGGGGCGGCUGGGGCUUUGCUGGCCUCAGGUGCCAUUUUCCACAUCAGGUAUAGGAAGACACGCUCUGAACACCCACACGGCUGCUGAUGCACCGGAACUGGCCCAGCCCCGGUGGUCUCCCCCGGUUUGUUAAAAAUACGGAUGAAGCCUAUUCGGGCUGCUCCAGUCGUUGUUAGAAAGGGAAAUGUGUCCUUAUCAGCUCGCAGAAGUUGUAAAAGGGAACAACAAAACACUCUGUGUAUAGGAAUAAACACCUAGAUUUGCUUGCUUUUAAGUGGUUUUCCUUCAUGUGCGAGGAUCCUCUGCGAGUUUCCAUUUAAAUGGGGUGAGAAACUCCGCGUUCUGUGCAGAGCCGGCAGCUGCUGUGGAAGAAGUAAUAACUUUUCCUUCGG
rnacentral:lncRNA from 13 species